CACACUGUAAACGAUGAUAACUCGCUGUCGGCGAUACACAGUCGGUGGCCAAGCGAAAGCGAUAAGUUAUCCACCUGGGGAGUACGACCGCAAGGUUGAAACUCAAAGGAAUUGACGGGGGCCCGCACAAGCGGAGGAACAUGUGGUUUAAUUCGAUGAUACGCGAGGAACCUUACCCGGGCUCGAACGGUGCAUGAAUAGAUCAGAGAUGGUUUAGUCCUUCGGGACAUGUAUCGAGGUGC
rnacentral:rRNA from 1 species